AACGAAUGCUAAUACCGGAUAUUAUGUGAGUUUCGCAUGAAAUUCAUAUGAAAGCUAUAUGCGCUGCAGGAGAGCUUUGCGUCCUAUUAGCUAGUUGGUGAGGUAACGGCUCACCAAGGCGAUGAUAGGUAGCCGGCCUGAGAGGGUGAACGGCCACAAGGGGACUGAGACACGGCCCUUACUCCUACGGGAGGCAGCAGUGGGGAAUAUUGGACAAUGGACCAAAAGUCUGAUCCAGCAAUUCUGUGUGCACGAUGAAGUUUUUCGGAAUGUAAAGUGCUUUCAGUUGGGACGAAGUAAGUGACGGUACCAACAGAAGAAGCGACGGCUAAAUACGUGCCAGCAGCCGCGGUAAUACGUAUGUCGCAAGCGUUAUCCGGAUUUAUUGGGCGUAAAGCGCGUCUAGGCGGUUUGGUAAGUCUGAUGUGAAAAUGCGGGGCCCAACUCCGUAUUGCGUUGGAAACUGCCAAACUAGAGUACUGGAGAGGUGGGCGGAACUACAAGUGUAGAGGUGAAAUUCGUAGAUAUUUGUAGGAAUGCCGAUGGGGAAGCCAGCCCACUGGACAGAUACUGACGCUAAAGCGCGAAAGCGUGGGUAGCAAACAGGAUUAGAUACCCUGGUAGUCCACGCCGUAAACGAUGGAUACUAGGUGUGGGGGGACUGACCCCCUCCGUGCCGCAGUUAACACAAUAAGUAUCCCACCUGGGGAGUACGAUCGCAAGGUUGAAACUCAAAGGAAUUGACGGGGGCCCGCACAAGCGGUGGAGUAUGUGGUUUAAUUCGAAGCAACGCGAAGAACCUUACCAGGGCUUGACAUCCGACUAACGAAGCAGAGAUGCAUUAGGUGCCCUUCGGGGAAAGUCGAGACAGGUGGUGCAUGGUUGUCGUCAGCUCGUGUCGUGAGAUGUUGGGUUAAGUCCCGCAACGAGCGCAACCCUUAUUGUUAGUUGCUACGCAAGAGCACUCUAGCGAGACUGCCGUUGACAAAACGGAGGAAGGUGGGGACGACGUCAAAUCAUCAUGCCCCUUAUGUCCUGGGCCACACACGUACUACAAUGGUGGUAAACAGAGGGAAGCAAUGCCGCGAGGUGGAGCAAAUCCCUAAAAGCCAUCCCAGUUCGGAUUGCAGGCUGAAACCCGCCUGUAUGAAGUUGGAAUCGCUAGUAAUCGCGGAUCAGCAUGCCGCGGUGAAUACGUUCCCGGGCCUUGUACUCACCGCCCGUA
rnacentral:rRNA from 1 species